CUCUUCCAGAAAACUGAGCAAUCAAAUAUGAUCUUUAUGCAGUAUGAGGUGAUGGGGUGGCCAGACCAGAGGCCAGUACCAGUGAGGAAGAGUUUGCUAUUAGUUGGGUAGGCAGAAGGGAAAAGGGAUAGGAAGGAGAAAAGAAGAGCUUAAAGUCAGGUGCAGAAGAAAAAUUGCAGGCAGGCCAGCUUCACUCAUCGGCUUGUUUGCAUCUGAGAUGGCCCUGGGUGGAUGGAAAUGAAGCUUGCAAUUUUCAGGGUGAUUACAUCCAACUACCACACUUCCUCCUUCCUCUUCCCAGGUGUGGUCCCAGCAUCAACCACAUGGUUCAUGUAGACCUUGAAGAAUGGUGAGGAAGGUACAGUGGUGCCAAUGGAGCCCUAGGAAGGAGAUUCAACGAGAAAUGAUGGUCCAGGAGAUGCCGGAGGAGGGUGUCUCCGGGAAUUCUCCAGAGGUUGUCUUAAAUGUGUCAGGCAUUAGCCCCGGUCCUCACUGGCCUAAGUUAGCCUGCCCAGGCCUCCUGAGCCGUUGGUGAGAGCAUUGUCUUGAGCUGGUCAUCUAUACCAUGACUGCUUGUUCCAGGUCCCUGGGGCCUUCCUGCUGCAGAACUGGUUUUAUGGUCUACACAUCCAACUGUGCCAGGCUGACUCAAACCUGGACCCACUCCUGUCACGUGAGAGGGAUGGAGAAGCCCUGCAUCUGGUUCUUGAAGUAAAGGCCUUCAUCACUCUUUUCCUCAAAGAGCUGCAUGUCGAUUAGAGUCUUGGAACAAUCGCUUUCCACUGCUCAUUGGCCCAGCUCACUGGCCUCUUGCCCAAGGACAGGUAACGGGCACAUGAAGAGACAGCGGAAGCAGUUCUGGGCCAACCAAAAAAGAUCUCAACCCAGGAGGUGCCUGGGUCUGUGACUUUGGUUUUUGAAAACCUAACACCUGGCACAAGGAAAUUCCUUAACAAUCUCACCACAUCUGUGUCCAGACAUUGCUGAUAUCAAGAAAAGAGGUAUGUUAUGGUGCUUUGUUCUAGUUUCCUCAUGUCAG